GAUGAACGCUGGCGGCGUGCCUAAUACAUGCAAGUCGAGCGAACAGACGAGGAGCUUGCUCCUCUGACGUUAGCGGCGGACGGGUGAGUAACACGUGGAUAACCUACCUAUAAGACUGGGAUAACUUCGGGACACCGGCGCUAAUACCGGAUAAUAUAUUGAACCGCAUGGUUCAAUAGUGAAAGACGGUUUUGCUGUCACUUAUAGAUGGAUCCGCGCCGCAUUAGCUAGUUGGUAAGGUAACGGCUUACCAAGGCAACGAUGCGUAGCCGACCUGAGAGGGUGAUCGGCCACACGGGAACUGGGACACGGUCCAGACUCCUACGGGAGGCAGCAGUAGGGAAUCUUCCGCAAUGGGCGAAAGCCUGACGGAGCAACGCCGCGUGAGUGAUGAAGGUCUUCGGAUCGUAAAACUCUGUUAUUAGGGAAGAACAAAUGUGUAAGUAACUAUGCACGUCUUGACGGUACCUAAUCAGAAAGCCACGGCUAACUACGUG
rnacentral:rRNA from 1 species